CUAGGCAAUAUAUCCAUCAAAAUGGAUCAUGCCAAAUGUAAUACUUAGCUUGUUUUACUAGCUUCUCUUUUUGGAAUCGACUGAAUAUGCUAGGGACCUGCUCAGUGGCCAAGUAAUUGAUAAUGUCUGCGAACCAAGGAUCUACAAUGUCAAGGGCAAAUAGCUGCUCAUCUGGGAAGUUUUCUUGUAAUGGCAAAUGAUCCUCUUCUUCAUUAAAUGAAUGCACUAAACGGCUAAGAUGAUCUACCACAACAUUUUCUUAAUGAUCGGAUCAUAUUUAUAUAUAUUUUUACUUCGAAUUCACUCGUCUUUUCUUAGUUAGUUCCUUAUAUUUUUGAGCUAUUUACGUUAUUUUUGUGUUUAUAGGAUUUGUUAUGCAAAGAAAAUAAAAAUAGAACAAGUGAAAUUUUAUAUA
rnacentral:lncRNA from 1 species